UAUAUGAAAGGCCCACAGGUAAUAUCAUCCUUAAUGGGGAAAAACUGAGAGCUUUCCCACAAAGGUCAGAAACACAAUAGAGAUGUCGACUCACAUGACUGUUGUUCAAUAUACUACUAGAAGUCCUAACCUCAGCAAUCAGACAGCAAAAAUAACUAAAAGGCAUACAAAUCUUCAAGGAAGAAGUCAGACUUUCACUAUU